rnacentral:lncRNA from 1 species
AUGUCAAAGGAGGCUGGGAGCCCCUUCCCACGGACCCCCACGCCACAAGCAGAGUGUGCAGCCUGUCCAGCAGCGCCCCAGGGCCUCGCCCCGCCCCGCAGCUGCCCCGCAACGCGCUCGCGCCCGCUCCCGCGCAAGGAGAGCUGGCAUCAGAUUGACCAGCUGCACCGGGGGCAGAGGAGACUUGGGAGCCAGCCUAGGUGCCGCCCGCGCCGAGCCCCGCGCCCCGCGCCCCACGUAGUGGACAGUCAGCCUGGCCCCGCCGCGCUCCCUCCCUGCGCUCAAACUUUGCCGGCGCCCUCCACCGCCCGACCCUCUCCCCCGCAGCCGCGCGCGCCUCCCACUAGCCCCUCACCGAGCGGCGCUCCAGGUCGGGAGCCGCCAUGGACUGGCUCGAGGGCGGAGGGGAGACUGGAACCGGGGGAUCGGAGCCGGCUCCGUGGCUCCUUCUCCACUUGGGUCGCUGCGGCUGAAUGGAUCCAAUAUGGCCACUUCCUGGAAACUCCCCUCGGAGGGCAGAAGAGGCUGCGGAGCCGCCUCCCGCCGUCGCUGCCCGCCCCAGCCCCGAGGGAAGCUUGUCUUAACUGUGGGUCCGGCCUCCGCCUUCUCCCCCAGUCGGAGCCCCGGGCUCUGCUUAGCCUGGAGCCCACCCUGGGUCCAAUAAUUUGACUGCUGCAAAGAACGCCGGGACUCGUAGUUCCCAAAAUUUGGGGAGGGAAGGAGAGGGGCAGGGCUUGGGAAGAGGCGGGCGGGAAAACCUGUCAUCUCCCUUCAGGAAUUGGUAUUUCUGGAAUUGUGUCGGGAGGGGCUUGGAGGUCUGGUUUAAUUCCUAGGAUUAAGAGCUGGAGGAGAGUUUUAAGAUUGUCUAGUGGAAGCCUCUCAUUUUUACAGAUGAAGACACAGAGACACAGAGAGAAGUGACUUGCCCAGACCCAAACCUUCACUUUACAUCAGAGGCCUCUUGCUUGGGGCCUGAGAGACGUUUUGGGUUCACAUAUACCUUUCCUUCUGCGUAGUAACAGAAAUUGUGGAAUUUCAGAAUUGGAAGAUAUCAAAAAAAAAAAACAUUUAGUCCAACUUGUACCUGUACAGGAAUUUCCAACACUGCCAUUCCCAACAAAUACGAAUGAAAACCUUGAGAAGGUAACUCAGCCUCAUAUGCUUUGUCUCAUCACUCAUGUUCUUCCUGUGGCCUUGAUCAAAGUGCAAACAGCUCCAUAUUUUCAUAGAAGUCUUUGAAUUUCUCAAUGGAGCUGAAGAAUCUUCAAAUAACUUGGCCCACAUAUACUUCCAUACUAGCUCCUGCCUCCACCUUCUCCCCCAGCUGGAACUUUUUAGGUAUGGUCUAGAAAGAGUAUCUAAAAACCCAACUAAGCAGAAAGCUACUUUAAGACAAACCAUUGCAGAACUAUAGAGAUUCAGUCCAAGUUUCUAUUUGAGGUCAAUGAAUUGGAUGAUGCCCUGCUUAGACUACCUCUGACAUCACACCUGAGUUGCAACACUAAUGCAACCAUUAUAAGGAAGGCAGCCAUAAUGGUAAAGAGACUUGAAACCAGGGGAUCUCUGGCUUUGAGAUGGAAACUCGGUUAAUAAACAUUUAUUAAGCACCUAGUGUCA